GUCUCUUCGGAGACAUCCGAUAAAAUUGGAACGAUACAAAGAAUAUUAGCAUGGCCCCUGCUCUAGGAUGACAUGCACAAAUUGAGAAACGGUCUAGGGUUGU
rfam:Beta vulgaris subsp. vulgaris chromosome 6, whole genome shotgun sequence.